UGAUUUGCAAGGAUGGGCUAAAUAUGGGGCGGGACUUCCGGGGCAGCCGGAGUAGGUAAUGUCGGGAGGUGUAGUGGGAAGGAAAGGACACGUCAGCAUCUGGCCGCGGGGCGCGGGGGGCCAUGGGAGCCCCAGGGGCGGAGCCAGCCGCGCCCUCCCGCCUGACCUCGCCCAUGACGUCCUUCCCCGCUGGCCUCAGGGGCGCACACUUGUAUACCCACCUAGGUGGGCGCCGCUGUACCCGGGAAUGCGGCCUGGGAGGGUGGAGCCACGCAGGCAGAGUCCUGGAGGAAUCUCCGUACCCGCUCCACUCGACUUCCGACAUUUUACCUUGGCUAAAGGAAGGAAAGGGACUUUGAAAUCCUUAAAGAAGACUUUUUUUGUGUGCAAUGGAGAACAAACACAGAAUGUAGUCUGAAGAUGCACAAGAUUCACUGAAACAAACAAAGCAUCCUAUUUCUUGAACUUCCUUGAAAAUAAAUUUAGGAAAUAUGUUCCUCUCAGUAAUAAUGGCAGUAGAUAUAGUCAAUCUCUUUCCACAAAGGAGGACAUUAGUGCUUAGAAAAGGUGAUGAACCAAAUCUAGGUCAACAGCUAAUAAGGAUGGAGUCAAGAUUUGAACCUAGAACUUUCUACCAUAAAUAGUCUUCUCUGAGCUAUUUGACUAGCCUGCUUCCAAGAUAUCCAAGCAUGUUCCUCUCAUCCUGGGCCUGUACCUGUAGAAUUCAGAAGCUGAGCAAAGAAAGAGUUUUCAACUCUCCGAAUCCUGAAGUCGGUCCUAAAGUCAGCAAACUCAGAGUUAAAGUUUCAGCAAGUAACAGCAAACUAGAUUAACCAUGGCAUAAACAUACAGAAGUCCCCCCUUAUCUGAAAGAUCAAGAAGCUGGAGGUAUUUGUUUAAAAGUUCAACCAUCUC
rnacentral:lncRNA from 1 species